UUUUAAUAUUAAAAUAGAAACCAUGUAGGUUGUUGGCGUUCUGAGAUCGCACCUACUACACCGGCCGCACCUCACCACCUACCCCCUUGUUUAAUCUCUGGAUCCGAUCCCUGGAAAAAGGAGCUAGCAACGCUUCACAUUCGUAUCCUUUGCUCGUCGACCAUGUCAGCUUCCAUCCAAUCCUCCGGCGGCGUUAUCACUUGCAGAGCCGCGGUGGCGUGGGGGCCAGGGCAGCCGCUGGUGCUGGAAGAGGUGGAGGUCGCCCCGCCCAAGUCCAUGGAGAUCCGCGUCAAGGUCGUCUGCACCUCCCUCUGCCGCAGCGACGUUACUCAGUGGCAAUCUCAGGCACAGCCUGAUCUGUUUCCUCGAAUUUUUGGUCACGAGGCAUCUGGGAUCGUGGAGGGUAUAGGAGAUGGUGUAACUGAGUUUGAGAUUGGUGAUCAUGUGUUAACAGUGUUCAUAGGAGAAUGUGGGAGAUGUACGCAUUGCCGGUCCAGCAAGAGCAACAUGUGCCAAAACUUGGGGCUGGAAAGGAGAGGACUGAUGCACAGCGAUCAGAUGACACGGUUUAGAGUGAAAGGGAGACCUGCUUAUCAUUAUUGCGCAGUCUCUAGCUUUAGCGAGUACAUAGUUGUGCACUCAGGUUGUGCUGUUAAGAUAAACCCUACUGUGAGAAUGGAUAGGGCAUGCCUUCUCAGUUGCGGAGUCGCUGCAGGAAUUGGAGCUGCUUGGAAUGUUGCCGAUAUAUCAAAAGAGUCAACUAUAGUAAUUUUUGGACUUGGUACCGUGGGCCUUUCAGUAGCUCAAGCUGCCAAAAUAAGAGGUGCUUCACGGAUAAUUGGAGUGGACAUAAAUCCAGAAAAAUUUGAGAAAGGAAAGACUUUUGGAGUUACUGAAUAUAUCAACCCAGAUGAGUGCAGAGAACCUGUUCAGCAGGUUAUCAAGAAACUGACUGAUGGAGGGGCAGAUUUUUCUUUUGAAUGCAUUGGUGAUACUGAUAUUGUAUCAACAGCCUUACAGUCUUGUUGUGAUGGUUGGGGAGUGACCGUGACUUUGGGUGUACCAAAAACCAAACCAGAAGUUUCAACUCAUUAUGCUUUUCUUCUAACUGGAAGAACUUUAAAGGGUUCCCUAUUUGGAGGUUGGAAACCAAAGUCUGAUCUUCCAUCAUUGGUUGACAAAUACUCAAAUGGGGGGAAGUUUUCUUUAUCCAGCAUUAGAGGAAGAUCAAGUAGAAGCAUUCAUGCCACACAAUCUUCACAACGAGAAUGAACCACACCAGUCACACAAUCUCCACAAUGAGAAUGAACCACACCACACUUGUAGAUGUCAUCCGGGCCAGCCUUUAUAAUAGGAAAUCAAAUUGGAUGAACUUGUUACACAUGAAAUACCAUUUGAAAGAAUUAAUGAUGCAUUCGACCUAAUGAGAGAAGGAAGUUGCUUGCGAUGUGUGAUUCAUAUGCAAAAGGAAUUAUAGGUAUGGAAGUCUGGA